GAUGAAGAACGUAGCGAAAUGCGAUACUUGGUGUGAAUUGCAGAAUCCCGUGAACCAUCGAGUCUUUGAACGCAAGUUGCGCCCGAAGCCAUUAGGCCGAGGGCACGCCUGCCUGGGCGUCACACGUCGUUGCCCCCCCAUCUAAUCCUUCGGGAUUGCGGGGGGUGGAUGAUGGCCUCCCGUGCGCCUCGUCGCGCGGUUGGCAUAAAUGCCAAGUCCUCGGCGACGCACGCCACGACAAUCGGUGGUUGCGAAACCUCGGUUGCCCGUCGUGUGCGGUCGUCGCGCAUCGAGGGCUCGAAAAAAUUGCCGGGCUCCGGCUCGACUUUCAACGCGACCCCAGGUCAGGCGGGGUUACCCGCUGAAUUUAAGCAUAUCAAUAAGCGGAGGA
rnacentral:misc_RNA from 1 species